rnacentral:rRNA from 1 species
GCGAACGCUGGCGGCAGGCCUAACACAUGCAAGUCGAACGAACUCUUCGGAGUUAGUGGCGGACGGGUGAGUAACACGUGGGAACGUGCCUUUAGGUUCGGAAUAACUCAGGGAAACUUGUGCUAAUACCGAAUGUGCCCUUCGGGGGAAAGAUUUAUCGCCUUUAGAGCGGCCCGCGUCUGAUUAGCUAGUUGGUGAGGUAAAGGCUCACCAAGGCGACGAUCAGUAGCUGGUCUGAGAGGAUGAUCAGCCACAUUGGGACUGAGACACGGCCCAAACUCCUACGGGAGGCAGCAGUGGGGAAUCUUGCGCAAUGGGCGAAAGCCUGACGCAGCCAUGCCGCGUGAAUGAUGAAGGUCUUAGGAUUGUAAAAUUCUUUCACCGGGGACGAUAAUGACGGUACCCGGAGAAGAAGCCCCGGCUAACUUCGUGCCAGCAGCCGCGGUAAUACGAAGGGGGCUAGCGUUGCUCGGAAUUACUGGGCGUAAAGGGAGCGUAGGCGGACAUUUAAGUCAGGGGUGAAAUCCCGGGGCUCAACCUCGGAAUUGCCUUUGAUACUGGGUGUCUUGAGUAUGAGA